rnacentral:misc_RNA from 1 species
UGCUGGAGGUGCCAUAAUUCUCUCCAUCAGAUUAGUUCCCUGCCUCUUGAUGUUUCCUUAGUGAGUGCAAUUCUCGUGGGUCUGUGACUAACAUGCAGCUGCCAUUUUUGGCGUUUAAUUUUGUGUGUUUUAGUGUAGUGUGUUGUAUAAACAUUUUUAUUUUCUUAUUCAAUUUCGAUUAUAAAAACCGAAAAAUGGCGUUUCUUUGAUGAAGAUUUCCAUAUUGCAUCCG